GUACGUUGAAGAUGGUUAGGAAAAUCUGUUGUGAAUUAAGCUUCUUCUCUUUGAUAUGCAUUUCCAAUCGCUAACCCAAUGCUGCUUUAAUUUUGUUUGUAGGAAGCUGAACUGACAUGAAGCAAAAGAAGUCUGUUGUUUUGGACUGCGUUCCACACUUGGCUGUCCCAGAGGUUGAUCUCACCACCAUUCAGAGAUCCAAGAGGAAGCCACCUGUUAGACUAAAGAAAACUCAGGUCUAAACCGUACUCUGCACGAGCAAAAGAAAAUGCACAGAAAGAAACAGUUCUCAGAAUCAGUUUGUUUCGUGUUGCUUCAGUUCAGAGU
rnacentral:lncRNA from 1 species